UGGGGAAUAUUGGACAAUGGGCGCAAGCCUGAUCCAGCCAUGCCGCGUGAGUGAUGAAGGCCCUAGGGUUGUAAAGCUCUUUCACCGGUGAAGAUAAUGACGGUAACCGGAGAAGAAGCCCCGGCUAACUUCGUGCCAGCAGCCGCGGUAAUACGAAGGGGGCCAGCGUUGUUCGGAUUUACUGGGCGUAAAGCGCACGUAGGCGGACUUUUAAGUCAGGGGUGAAAACCCGGGGCUCAACCCCGGAACUGCCUUUGAUACUGGAAGUCUUGAGUAUGGUAGAGGUGAGUGGAAUUCCGAGUGUAGAGGUGAAAUUCGUAGAUAUUCGGAGGAACACCAGUGGCGAAGGCGGCUCACUGGACCAUUACUGACGCUGAGGUGCGAAAGCGUGGGGAGCAAACAGG
rnacentral:rRNA from 1 species